rnacentral:tRNA from 1 species
UGGGAAGUAGUUAAUUUAUAAUGGCGGCUUGUCGAGCCGAGGUUGUUUUAGGAACCUUUCUAU